CUGCUAUUUCCUGGUUUGGUUUGCUCACUGGAGCUAAACUCAUGAGGCAGGCAAUAGCUCACAGCACCUGCCUUGCAAAGUCUUCUCAUUGAGCUGCUUUAGGAAAGUUUGGUCUGGGAAGAACGUGAAAGCUUGCAAAUGCUGCAGACACGAGAACUGCAGCUUUUGCAAGUGGGUUUAUAUAUACCCCUGAAUGAAAAAAUGCACAAUUAAAUGUAUGCACUUUUCAUUGGGGUAUAUCUCUGAAACAGUGAUUUUUACAAUAAUUUUACAUGGGCAGUGGAGUGUUUUUUUAAGGUGCCAUGGGCUUGAAAAACUAU